CUACCACAUUGGCACAUGAUAAGGAACAUACCAUUAAAGUUUCAAUGGUUGGAUAUACCAUAUUAAGAGUUUAAAUACUACUUUAAGAUUUUCCCCAUAGGGUUUAAUGCUAAACAUAUUUAGUUUCCAUGGCAAUAUAGUAGUUCCAAAGAUUCCCAAAAUCAUCUCAAACCUGUAUAUGGUGGACACCAACAAUAUAUAAAAAUUUGAUGAUUUUCAGUUCAGGAAUAUUCAAAUUAUUCACCAAAAACCAAAAAAAUAUUUUUUACAUUUGUUCUGUUUCCAUGGUAACGGCGGCCAUCUUGCACAUGCCAAAGUCUGCUGCACAACUUCACAUGGUGUUCCACAUUGUGGUAUAAUUCCAUCAACAUUGGUCCAUUCAAUUCCGAGAAAUAGCGUGGACAAAAUGUGUGGAAGAAUAAAAAUAAUAAGAAAAAAAGAAACGUAGAAUAACAAUAUGUCACCCCAACUCCGUUGAGGGUGCCAUAAAAAGAAAAAAAGUAGAAUAACAAUAUGUCACCCAAACUCCGUUUAGGGUGCCAUAAUAAGAAAAAAAAGAAACGUAGAAUAACAAUAUGUCACUCCAACUCCGUUGAGGGUGCCAUAAAAAGAAUCGUACAAUAACAAUAUGUCACCCGACCUCCGUCAGAGUGACAUAAUAAUAAGACAAA
rnacentral:lncRNA from 1 species